rnacentral:misc_RNA from 1 species
GAAACGCGAAAGGUAAUGCGAAUUGCAGAAUCAGUGAGUCAUCGAAUCUUUGAACGCACAUUGCGCCUCUCGGUAUUCCGGGAGGCACGCCUGUUCGAGCGCCAUUACAAACUCCAAGCGUGGCUUGAUGUUGGGCGAUGUCUUUUUGCGAGAGCGGAGACACGCCUGGAACGCGUUGGCGCCGCCGCCGGACCACGAGCGUAGCAAGACGAGAGUCAAUCGCAUCGAUUUGGAUUCCGACGGAGGUCCGCCAUGGGACUGCACUUUCGAGUGUAAGUUCACAACUUCUCUAAAGUUUGGCCUCGGAUCAGGCGGAGAUACCCGCUGAACUUAGGC